rnacentral:lncRNA from 1 species
UGUGAUAAGAUUGGGCCAUUUGGGCUUGUCAAGCACAAGGGACUCUUCUUCUAUCUUCUCUUCCUCGGCAUGCCAUGGCUUCAAAGUUGUGCUAGCUCUCAUGUCAUAAAGAGCUUUGCCAAUGAUGUAACUACCAAGUGGGCAUGAGAUUGAAAAUCUGACCGGAUUCUUGAACUUUGGUGGAGAAAGCACAUGAGACACUAAUGAAAUCGGCUUAUCUCUGUUGGCUCUCACAUUUGGAUCUCCGCCGACCUCCUUUUCCUUAUCCCCACUUGUUUCCUCUCUUUCGAUAUCUUGUGGCUUAUCCAGUUGCAGAUUUUGUUCGAGCUCUCUAUCAGUUUCGGAAUCCAUGUCAUAAAGCCAAGUGUUUUGAGGAUAGUUGUUUAAGGCUUGAACAUUUGCUCUAUCUGGUUCUCAAGAUUUCGAAUUGACAUCUCUUGCUCAAUCCUCCAGUCUUGAAUUAUCUAUUUCAGUCUCGGAAUCCAUGUAUUGAG